UUGCAGCCACAACACAUUGAAUCACUGGUUCCCGUACGAUCACCAGAGUUAAGCAGCGUUGAACCUAAGUCAGUACCUAGAUGGGUGAACGCUUGGGAAUACUAGGUACAGU